rnacentral:rRNA from 1 species
ACGAACGCUGGCGGCGUGCUUAACACAUGCAAGUCGAACGGAAAGGCCCUGCUUUUGUGGGGUGCUCGAGUGGCGAACGGGUGAGUAACACGUGAGUAACCUGCCCUUGACUUUGGGAUAACUUCAGGAAACUGGGGCUAAUACCGGAUAGGAGCUCCUGCUGCAUGGUGGGGGUUGGAAAGUUUCGGCGGCUGGGGAUGGACUCGCGGCUUAUCAGCUUGUUGGUGGGGUAGUGGCUUACCAAGGCUUUGACGGGUAGCCGGCCUGAGAGGGUGACCGGCCACAUUGGGACUGAGAUACGGCCCAGACUCCUACGGGAGGCAGCAGUGGGGAAUAUUGCACAAUGGGCGGAAGCCUGAUGCAGCAACGCCGCGUGCGGGAUGACGGCCUUCGGGUUGUAAACCGCUUUCGCCUGUGACGAAGCGUGUGUGACGGUAAUGGGUAAAGAAGCACCGGCUAACUACGUG